GAUGAACGCUGGCGGCGUGCUUAACACAUGCAAGUCGAACGGAAAGGCUCCUGCUUGCAGGGGUACUCGAGUGGCGAACGGGUGAGUAACACGUGGGUGAUCUGCCCUGCACUUCGGGAUAAGCCUGGGAAACUGGGUCUAAUACCGGAUAGGACCACAUUUUGGAUGGUGUGGUGGAAAGUUUUUCGGUGUGGGAUGAGCUCGCGGCCUAUCAGCUUGUUGGUGGGGUAAUGGCCUACCAAGGCGUCGACGGGUAGCCGGCCUGAGAGGGUGUACGGCCACAUUGGGACUGAGAUACGGCCCAGACUCCUACGGGAGGCAGCAGUGGGGAAUAUUGCACAAUGGGCGCAAGCCUGAUGCAGCGACGCCGCGUGGGGAUGACGGCCUUCGGGUUGUAAACUCCUUUCGCUAGGGACGAAGCGUUUUUGUGACGGUACCUGGAGAAGAAGCACCGGCUAACUACGUG
rnacentral:rRNA from 1 species